GCCGGGUGUGGUGGUGCACACCUGUAAUCCCACCUACUCGGGAGGCUGAGACAAGAGAAUCACUUGAACCCAGGAGGCAGAGAUUGCAGUGAGCUGAGAUUGUGCCACUGCACUCCAGCCUGAGUGACAGAGUGAGACCCUGUCUCAA
rnacentral:SRP_RNA from 1 species